AGUCGAGGGGCAGCAGGACUGUAGCAAUACAGUUGCUGGCGACCGGCAAACGGGUGCGGAACACGUACGCAACUUACCCAAAACUGGGGAAUAGCCCGGGGAAACCCGGAUUAAUACCUCGUAAGAUAAUGAAGUGGCAUCACUUUAUUAUUAUAGCUCCGGCGGUUUUGGAUGGGCGUGCGCCUGAUUAGGUAGUUGGCGGGGUAACGGCCCACCAAGCCUACGAUCAGUAACUGGUGUGAGAGCACGACCAGUCACACGGGCACUGAGACACGGGCCCGACUCCUACGGGAGGCAGCAGUAAGGAAUAUUGGUCAAUGGACGCAAGUCUGAACCAGCCAUGCCGCGUGAAGGAUGAAGGUCCUCUGGAUUGUAAACUUCUUUUAUAUGGGAAGAAAUCCAUCUUUUCUUGGAUGGUUGACGGUACCAUAGGAAUAAGCACCGGCUAACUCCGUGCCAGCAGCCGCGGUAAUACGGAGGGUGCAAGCGUUAUCCGGAUUCACUGGGUUUAAAGGGUGCGUAGGAGGGCAGGUAAGUCAGUGGUGAAAUCUCCAAGCUUAACUUGGAAACUGCCGUUGAUACUAUCUGUCUUGAAUACCGUGGAGGUGAGCGGAAUAUGUCAUGUAGCGGUGAAAUGCUUAGAUAUGACAUAGAACACCAAUUGCGAAGGCAGCUCGCUACACGAAUAUUGACUCUGAGGCACGAAAGCGUGGGGAUCAAACAGGAUUAGAUACCCUGGUAGUCCACGCCCUAA
rnacentral:rRNA from 1 species